GCCUGGGUGGCUCAGUCGGUUAAGCGUCUGACUUCGGCUCAGGUCAUGAUCUCACGUUUAGUGAGUUUGAGCCCCACAUCAGGCU
rnacentral:tRNA from 1 species